rnacentral:rRNA from 1 species
UUAAGCGACUAAGCGUACACGGUGGAUGCCCUGGCAGUCAGAGGCGAUGAAGGACGUGCUAAUCUGCGAUAAGCGUCGGUAAGGUGAUAUGAACCGUUAUAACCGGCGAUUUCCGAAUGGGGAAACCCAGUGUGAUUCGUCACACUAUCAUUAACUGAAUCCAUAGGUUAAUGAGGCGAACCGGGGGAACUGAAACAUCUAAGUACCCCGAGGAAAAGAAAUCAACCGAGAUUCCCCCAGUAGCGGCGAGCGAACGGGGAGCAGCCCAGAGCCUGAAUCAGUGUGUGUGUUAGUGGAAGCGUCUGGAAAGGCGCGCGAUACAGGGUGACAGCCCCGUACACAAAAAUGCACAUACUGUGAGCUCGAUGAGUAGGGCGGGACACGUGGUAUCCUGUCUGAAUAUGGGGGGACCAUCCUCCAAGGCUAAAUACUCCUGACUGACCGAUAGUGAACCAGUACCGUGAGGGAAAGGCGAAAAGAACCCCGGCGAGGGGAGUGAAAAAGAACCUGAAACCGUGUACGUACAAGCAGUGGGAGCACAGAGCAAUCUGUGUGACUGCGUACCUUUUGUAUAAUGGGUCAGCGACUUAUAUUCUGUAGCAAGGUUAACCGAAUAGGGGAGCCGAAGGGAAACCGAGUCUUAACUGGGCGUUAAGUUGCAGGGUAUAGACCCGAAACCCGGUGAUCUAGCCAUGGGCAGGUUGAAGGUUGGGUAACACUAAUUGGAGGACCGAACCGACUAAUGUUGAAAAAUUAGCGGAUGACUUGUGGCUGGGGGUGAAAGGCCAAUCAAACCGGGAGAUAGCUGGUUCUCCCCGAAAGCUAUUUAGGUAGCGCCUCGUGAAUUCAUCUCCGGGGGUAGAGCACUGUUUCGGCAAGGGGGUCAUCCCGACUUACCAACCCGAUGCAAACUGCGAAUACCGGAGAAUGUUAUCACGGGAGACACACGGCGGGUGCUAACGUCCGUCGUGAAGAGGGAAACAACCCAGACCGCCAGCUAAGGUCCCAAAGUCAUGGUUAAGUGGGAAACGAUGUGGGAAGGCCCAGACAGCCAGGAUGUUGGCUUAGAAGCAGCCAUCAUUUAAAGAAAGCGUAAUAGCUCACUGGUCGAGUCGGCCUGCGCGGAAGAUGUAACGGGGCUAAACCAUGCACCGAAGCUGCGGCAGCGACGCUGAUGCGUUGUUGGGUAGGGGAGCGUUCUGUAAGCCUGUGAAGGUGUGCUGUGAGGCAUGCUGGAGGUAUCAGAAGUGCGAAUGCUGACAUAAGUAACGAUAAAGCGGGUGAAAAGCCCGCUCGCCGGAAGACCAAGGGUUCCUGUCCAACGUUAAUCGGGGCAGGGUGAGUCGACCCCUAAGGCGAGGCCGAAAGGCGUAGUCGAUGGGAAACAGGUUAAUAUUCCUGUACUUGGUGUUACUGCGAAGGGGGGACGGAGAAGGCUAUGUUGGCCGGGCGACGGUUGUCCCGGUUUAAGCGUGUAGGCUGGUUUUCCAGGCAAAUCCGGAAAAUCAAGGCUGAGGCGUGAUGACGAGGCACUACGGUGCUGAAGCAACAAAUGCCCUGCUUCCAGGAAAAGCCUCUAAGCAUCAGGUAACAUCAAAUCGUACCCCAAACCGACACAGGUGGUCAGGUAGAGAAUACCAAGGCGCUUGAGAGAACUCGGGUGAAGGAACUAGGCAAAAUGGUGCCGUAACUUCGGGAGAAGGCACGCUGAUAUGUAGGUGAAGUCCCUCGCGGAUGGAGCUGAAAUCAGUCGAAGAUACCAGCUGGCUGCAACUGUUUAUUAAAAACACAGCACUGUGCAAACACGAAAGUGGACGUAUACGGUGUGACGCCUGCCCGGUGCCGGAAGGUUAAUUGAUGGGGUCAGCGCAAGCGAAGCUCUUGAUCGAAGCCCCGGUAAACGGCGGCCGUAACUAUAACGGUCCUAAGGUAGCGAAAUUCCUUGUCGGGUAAGUUCCGACCUGCACGAAUGGCGUAAUGAUGGCCAGGCUGUCUCCACCCGAGACUCAGUGAAAUUGAACUCGCUGUGAAGAUGCAGUGUACCCGCGGCAAGACGGAAAGACCCCGUGAACCUUUACUAUAGCUUGACACUGAACAUUGAGCCUUGAUGUGUAGGAUAGGUGGGAGGCUUUGAAGUGUGGACGCCAGUCUGCAUGGAGCCGACCUUGAAAUACCACCCUUUAAUGUUUGAUGUUCUAACGUUGACCCGUAAUCCGGGUUGCGGACAGUGUCUGGUGGGUAGUUUGACUGGGGCGGUCUCCUCCUAAAGAGUAACGGAGGAGCACGAAGGUUGGCUAAUCCUGGUCGGACAUCAGGAGGUUAGUGCAAUGGCAUAAGCCAGCUUGACUGCGAGCGUGACGGCGCGAGCAGGUGCGAAAGCAGGUCAUAGUGAUCCGGUGGUUCUGAAUGGAAGGGCCAUCGCUCAACGGAUAAAAGGUACUCCGGGGAUAACAGGCUGAUACCGCCCAAGAGUUCAUAUCGACGGCGGUGUUUGGCACCUCGAUGUCGGCUCAUCACAUCCUGGGGCUGAAGUAGGUCCCAAGGGUAUGGCUGUUCGCCAUUUAAAGUGGUACGCGAGCUGGGUUUAGAACGUCGUGAGACAGUUCGGUCCCUAUCUGCCGUGGGCGCUGGAGAACUGAGGGGGCUGCUCCUAGUACGAGAGGACCGGAGUGGACGCAUCACUGGUGUUCGGGUUGUCAUGCCAAUGGCACUGCCCGGUAGCUAAAUGCGGAAGAGAUAAGUGCUGAAAGCAUCUAAGCACGAAACUUGCCCCGAGAUGAGUUCUCCCUGACCCUUUAAGGGUCCUGAAGGAACGUUGAAGACGACGACGUUGAUAGGCCGGGUGUGUAAGCGCAGCGAUGCGUUGAGCUAACCGGUACUAAUGAACCGUGAGGCUUAACCU